rnacentral:rRNA from 1 species
GAUGAACGCUGGCGGCGUGCCUAAUACAUGCAAGUCGAGCGAACGGACGAGAAGCUUGCUUUUCUGAUGUUAGCGGCGGACGGGUGAGUAACACGUGGAUAACCUACCUAUAAGACUGGGAUAACUUCGGGAAACCGGAGCUAAUACCGGAUAAUAUUUUGAACCGCAUGGUUCAAAAGUGAAAGACGGUCUUGCUGUCACUUAUAGAUGGAUCCGCGCUGCAUUAGCUAGUUGGUAAGGUAACGGCUUACCAAGGCAACGAUGCAUAGCCGACCUGAGAGAGUGAUCGGCCACACUGGAACUGAGACACGGUCCAGACGCCUACGGGAGGCAGCAGUAGGGAAUCUGCCGCAAUGGGCGAAAGCCUGACGGAGCAACGCCGCGUGAGUGAUGAAGGUCUUCGGAUCGUAAAACUCUGUUAUUAGGGAAGAACAUAUGUGUAAGUAACUGUGCACAUCUUGACGGUACCUAAUCAGAAAGCCACGGCUAACUACGUG